CCGCUGUCCCCGUGUCCCCGCUGACCCCUUGUCCCUGCCGUCCCCAGUGACCCCGCUGUCCCCGCUGUCCCCCAUGUCCCCGUGUCCCCGCUGUCCCCAUGUCCCCCAUGUCCCUGCUGUCCCGGUGACCCCGCUGUCCCCGUGUCCCCGCUGUCCCCAUGUCCCCNNNNNNNNNNNNACUGUCCCCGUGUCCCCGCUGUCCCCGUGUCCCCGCUGUCCCCAUGUCCCCGCUGUCCUGGUGACCCCGCUGUCCCCGUGUCCCCGCUGUCCCUGUGUCCCCGCUGUGUCCCACACUGUCCCCGCUGUCCCUGUGUCCCACACUGUCCCCGCUGUCCCCGUGUCCCCGCUGUCCCGGUGACCCCGCUGUCCCCUCUGUCCCUGCUGUGUCCCACACUGUCCCCGCUGUCCCCGUGUCCCCGCUGUCCCCGUGUCCCCGCUGUCCCCGUGUCCCCGCUGUCCCGGUGACCCCGCUGUCCCCUCUGUCCCUGCUGUGUCCCACACUGUCCCCGCUGUCCCCAUGUCCCCGCUGUCCCCGUGUCCCCGCUGUCCCUGUGUCCCCGCUGUCCCGGUGACCCCGCUGUCCUGCUGUCCCCAGCCCCUGGCCGAGUGUGACCUGCGGGACGUGUCCUACCAUGUCUGCGGCCCCGCCAGCCACCAGCUGCAGCUGCCGGGGACAGCGGGGACAGCGGGGACACCGGGGACAGCAGGGACAGCGGGGACAGAGGGGGACACAGCGGGGCCAGAGGCGGUGGCACUGCGCUUCCCUGAGGAGCGCGAGGCACAGCAGUGGUGGACGGUGCUGAGCAGCUCCCUCAGGGAGGCACGCAGAGCCGCCGAGGGUGACACGGGGACGUCUCCGGUGCCACCCGCGGGGAUGUCUCUGGUGCCACCCGCGGGGACAUCUCCGGUGCCACCCGCCGAGGGCCCCGAGCUGGACGCGGAGGAGCAGCAGGUCCUGGAGCUGGCCGAGACAGAGGAGCUGGCCCUGCAGCUGGCCGAGGCGGUGGCCCUCGGGGACGAGGCGGUGGCCGCGGGCAGCGCGGCGGCGCUGGCCCGGCGCCACGCGGAGCUGAGCGUGCGCCUGCGGGAGAGGGAGCGGGACGGGGCCGACAUCAGGUGGGGAUCCUGCCUUCCUCCUUCUCGUCAUCAUCGUCACCAUUGUCACCAUUGUCCUCAUUGUUCUGCCCGUCCCCAACCUCUGCCUUCCUCCUCAUCAUCAUCGUCACCAUUGUCCUCAUUGUUCUGCCUGUCCCCAGCCUCUGCCUUCCUUCUCAUUGUCAUCGUCAUUGUCACUGUCCCACUCAUCCCCAGCCUCUGCCUUCCUCCUCGUCAUCAUUGUCAUCGUUGUCCUCCUCAUCCCCAACCUCUGCCUUCCUCCUCAUUGUCAUCAUUGUCAUUAUCGUCAUCGUCACUGUUGUCCUCAUUGUUCUGCCCGUCCCCAAUCUCUGCCUUCCUCCUCAUCGUCACCAUCGUCACCAUCGUCACCAUUGUCACCAUUGUCACCAUUGUCCUCAUUGUUCUGCCCGUCCCCAACCUCUGCCUUCCUCCUCAUCGUCAUCAUCGUCACCAUUGUCAGCAUUGUCACCAUUGUCCCACUCAUUCCCAACCUCUGCCUUCCUCCUCAUCAUCAUCAUCGUCACCAUUGUCACCAUUGUCACCAUUGUCCCACUCAUUCCCAACCUCUGCCUUCUUCCUCAUCGUCAUCAUUGUCAUCAUCGUCAUCAUCGUCACCAUUGUCACCAUUGUCAGCAUUGUCCUCAUUGUUCUGCCCGUCCCCAACCUCUGCCUUCCUCCUCAUCAUCAUCAUCGUCACCAUUGUCACCAUUGUUCUCAUUGUCCUCAUUGUUCUGCCCGUCCCCAACCUCUGCCUUCCUCCUCAUCAUCAUCAUCGUCACCAUUGUCACCAUUGUCACCAUUGUCCCACUCAUUCCCAACCUCUGCCUUCCUCCUCAUCAUCAUCAUUGUCAUCGUCGUCAUCAUCGUCAUCAUUGUCACCAUUGUCCUCAUUGUUCUGCUUGUUCCCUACCUCUGCUUUCCUCAUCAUCACCCUCUUCAUCCUCAUCCCCAUUCUCUGCCUUCCUCAUCAUCAUCAUCAUCACCGUCACCGUCCUCAUCUUCAUACUCUGCCUUUCUCAUCAUCUUCAUCAUCCACAUCCUCAUCUUCAUUCUCGGCUCCUGGCUUCCUCAUCCUCAUCAUCCUCAUCCCCAUUCUUUGCCUUCCUCAUUAUCUUCAUCAUACUCAUCCUCAUCUUCAUCGUCUCCCGUCUCUCUCAUCCUCAUCAUCCUCAUCCCCACCCUCUGCUUUCCUCAUCGUUGUCAUCAUCCUCAUUUUCAAAUCCCAAAUCCCAUAUCCCGUAUUCCGUAUCCCAUACUCCAUAUCCCGUACCCCACACCCUAACCCCACACCCCAAACCCCAACCCCAAAUCCCAACCCCGAUCCCAAACCCCAAGCCUGAUCCCAAACCCCAAGCCCAACCCCAAUCCCGAUCCCAACCCCAAUCCCAUUCUCUCUGCCAUCCCAGCAUGCCAUACCCCAAUCCCACACCCCAAUCCCAAACCCCAAUCCCAACCCCAAUCCCAACCCCAAUCCCAACCCCGAUCCCGUUCUCUCUGCCAUCCCAGCAUGCCGUACCCCAAUCCCAAACCCC
ensembl:lncRNA